rnacentral:lncRNA from 1 species
UUUCUCUGGAAAAUCUAUAGGGAUCGGCAAGCCUUUCUAGAAAGGUUAUUCUAGUCUUUGACAUGCUUAUUUUUUAUAUUGCAUAAUUUUUUGAAAAUGAAUGAACAUGUGUCAAACUGCUGAGAAGCCAGAUUAGUUAUUUAGCAGAAUUUCCUGCUAACUGUUCAGCAUCCAAGCUUUGUUCAUUAUUAGUAGGGCAAUUAGGUUUUGAAAUUUUUAAUAACGAGUCAUAAAAAACAGACAUAACAAUCACACAAUAACGACAAUGAGUCAUCAAUAUGAUCAAUUACUAAAUACUAAUCAUUUCUGUAAUCAAAUCUCAAAAACUGAUCAUUCCUACCAAUUAUCCUAAAAUAUAUUCUUUUUUGUCCGAGUCAUCAAUAUGAUCAAUAUGUAGUUGCUAAAACUAAUAAUUUAUGCAAACAAAUCUCAAAAACUGAUCAUUCAUACUAAUUACCCUAAAUUAUGUUCCUUUUUAUCUAAGUGUCAAUAACAUCUUCAUCUUCUAUUAUUUUUUCAUAACUACGCCUAAAUCGUGGAAUGUCGUAGAUUUUUCAAUAAUUUAGCGAAAAAAAAGGACUUCAAAAAGGAAAAACUUCAAUUAGGGCAUCCUAGAUUAAAUCCGAAGGUUCUCAAACAAAAAUGACUCAAAAAAUAAAUAUAUAUAAAAAAAAACACGAUCAACUUGGUCAAUCUAAUGGAUGUCAUAUCAACGGAUCUUUGGUUGUGAAUAGCAUGAGAACACAUCUAGGACUCCAAAACCAAAAGAACUUCAACUUUGGCAACCAAAAAUUCAGUUACUUCAUAAUCCGCUUCAUGGGAGACUACGCACAAAUCGUCAACAAAACUAAUAAGAGAACAAUCUUUACAAACGAGCAGCCCCGACUCCCAAGAGAAACUAUAAAAGAAACAAAUAAUGACAACUACAAAAGGCUAUGCGGUCAUGAAAACCACCAACGAAGCUACUAGUUCAUCAUAAUAAAUGGCAACAACACCACCAUGAGACAUGAACAAAAGACGAAAGCUCUAAGGGCUAACCGAACACAGACAAGAGCCGCACUAUAAUCUACAAUACCCACCUAACAAAAAUUCAACCUCAUAUUUUGCCAAACCUCAUAUGGUGCCAGAAAUGUAGAGAAAUGUCUAAGAAAAAUACACGAGAAGUUAUUUAUAGGAGGAGAUUUAAAUGGACACG